AGAGCGAACGCUGGCGGCAGGCCUAACACAUGCAAGUCGAGCGCCCGUAGCAAUACGGGAGCGGCAGACGGGAUAGUAACACGUGGGAACGCGCCCUUCGGUUCGGAAUAACUCAGGGAAACUUGAGCUAAUACCGGAUACGCCCUUACGGGGAAAGAUUUAUUGCCGAAGGAACGGCCCGCGUCCGAUUAGCUAGUUGGUGAGGUAAUGGCUCACCAAGGCGACGAUCGGUAGCUGGUCUGAGAGGAUGACCAGCAUCACUGGGACUGAGACACGGCUCAGACUCCUACGGGAGGCAGCAGUGGGGAAUAUUGGACAAUGGGCGCAAGCCUGAUCCAGCCAUGCCGCGUGGAUGAUGAAGGCCUUAGGGUUGUAAAGUCCUUUAACGGGGAAGAUAAUGACGGUACCGUAGAAUAAGCCCGGCUAACUUCGUGCCAGCAGCCGC
rnacentral:rRNA from 1 species